UACGUAGGGGGCAAGCGUUGUCCGGAUUUAUUGGGCGUAAAGAGCUCGUAGGUGGUUCGGUAAGUCGGAUGUGAAAUCUCCAGGCUCAACCUGGAGGGGUCAUUCGAUACUGCCGUGACUAGAGGUCGGUAGGGGAGUGUGGAAUUCCUGGUGGAGCGGUGAAAUGCGCAGAUAUCAGGAGGAACACCCGUAGCGAAGGCAAUGUUCUGGCUCGUUUCUGACGCUCAGGUGCGAAAGCCAGGGGAGCGAACGGG
rnacentral:rRNA from 1 species